GAAUGCUGACAUAAGUAACGAUAAAGCGGGUGAAAAGCCCGCUCGCCGGAAGACCAAGGGUUCCUGUCCAACGUUAAUCGGGGCAGGGUGAGUCGACCCCUAAGGCGAGGCCGAAAGGCGUAGUCGAUGGGAAACAGGUUAAUAUUCCUGUACUUGGUGUUACUGCGAAGGGGGGACGGAGAAGGCUAUGUUGGCCGGGCGACGGUUGUCCCGGUUUAAGCGUGUAGGCUGGUUUUCCAGGCAAAUCCGGAAAAUCAAGGCUGAGGCGUGAUGACGAGGCACUA
rnacentral:rRNA from 1 species